GGAAUCGUAGCUCAGUGGCAGAGCGGCAGGCUGAACGCCUGCGGCCGGUACGAAUAUUUGACAUCCCAUCGAAUAUUGACAGUACGAAUCAGAAUUGGGAACUCUGGUGCGAAGGUUCAAAUCCUUCCGAUUCCG
rnacentral:tRNA from 1 species